GCCAACCCCGCGGGGGAGGAGAGCGACCGGGGCGCGGCUCCGGGCUACCGGCUGCAGCUCCCGCGGCGGCGGCGGCGGCGGCGGCGGAUCCGGACGCGACGCGGGAUGGAGACAGACGAGCAGGGCUGCGUGCGCGCGUGGUGGCACAUGGUCGCGUGGAACCUGAGUAUCUUACAGAUUUUUCCCAUACUCCUGUUCAACACUCAGAAGAAAAAUUGCCACUCUGUGUGACAGCUUUACAAGUAAAUCAUUAAAAGAACAUAUUUUCCCUCCUCUGAUGCACAUGUUGAUUUUUUUCAACUUUUGUGAUCCAAGCACCAUUUCUUGUGGAUUUAAAGAAACCGGAGUUAAAGAUUCCUCACAGUGAACUUCUACAUCAAAGUUGAACCUAGGGUGAUUCUGGGAAUCUGGAAGAAGAGUUGUAGGGGCUUCCCUGGUGGCGCAGUGGUUGAGAAUCUGCCUGCCAAUGCAGGGGACACGGGUUCGAGCCCUGGUCUGGGAAGAUCCCACAUACCGCAGAGCAACUGGGCCCGUGAGCCACAACUACUGAGCCUGCGCGUCUGGAGCCUGUGCUCCGCAACAGGAGAGGCCGCGAUAAUGAGAGGCCCACGCACCGUGAUGAAGAGUGGCCCCCACUUGCCGCAACUAGAGAAAGCCCUCGCACAGAAACGAAGACCAACACAGACAUAAAUAAAUAAAUAAUAAAUAAAUUUUUAAAAAAAUUUAGAAAAAACAAAUAUUGUCACCAUCAUUUAAA